AGUGAGGUCAGCUAACCAAGCUAUCGGGCCCAUACCCCGAAAAUGUCGGUUACAAACCUUCCCUCACUA
rnacentral:tRNA from 1 species